GUGCCAGCCGCCGCGGUAAUACCGGCAGCCCGAGUGAUGUCCGAUAUUAUUGGGCCUAAAGCGUCCGUAGCUGGCUGCCCAAGUCUGCCGGGAAAUCCACCCGCCCAACGAGUGGGCGUCCGACGGAAACUGCACAGCUUGGGACCGGAAGGCUCGAAGAGUACGUUCGGGGUAGGAGUGAAAUCCCAUAAUCCCGCACGGACCACCGAUGGCGAAAGCACUUCGAGAAAACGGAUCCGACAGUGAGGGACGAAAGCCAGGGUCUCCAACCGGAUUAGAAACCCGAGUAGUCC
rnacentral:rRNA from 1 species